CCCUUAGAUGUUCUGGGCCGCACGCGUGCUACACUGAGUAAAUCAAUGGGUAAGGGAACACGAAAGUGCAACCUAAUCUUGAAAUUUGCUCGUGAUGGGGAUCGACGGUUGCAAUUUUCCGUCGUGAACGAGGAAUACCUUGUAGGCGCGUGUCAUCAUCACGCGCCGAAUACGUCCCUGCCCUUUGUGCACACCGCCCGUCGCUCCUACCGAUUGAGUGAUCCGGUGAGGCUCUGGGACCUGGACGGAAAGAGCGUUUCGCUUGUUCUGUUUGGGAAACUUGGUCGAACCUUAUCAUUUAGAGGAAGGAGAAGUCGUAACA
rnacentral:rRNA from 1 species